UCUUGGUAACAAAUGAUGGUUGUCAAGCUCCCAUUCCAAUGUUUUCUGGUCAUCCUGGAUUAUAUAUAGAAGGAUCUGUUUCUCCCCCUCUUUCUGGUGUUUAUGUCUAAGAUUAUUGCUGUGGAAGAUAGCUGCACUACACCACUUAAAAAAAAUGAGACGGCACUUGAAACUACUACAGGGAUUGAUGGUUCUUUCAUUGCGGGGCCUUUAUAUGAUGAUAUAACGUACA
rnacentral:misc_RNA from 1 species